GGGAGGCAGCAGUAGGGAAUCUUCCGCAAUGGACGAAAGUCUGACGGAGCAACGCCGCGUGAGUGAUGAAGGCUUUCGGGUCGUAAAACUCUGUUGUUAGGGAAGAACAAGUGCUAGUUGAAUAAGCUGGCACCUUGACGGUACCUAACCAGAAAGCCACGGCUAACUACGUGCCAGCAGCCGCGGUAAUACGUAGGUGGCAAGCGUUAUCCGGAAUUAUUGGGCGUAAAGCGCGCGCAGGUGGUUUCUUAAGUCUGAUGUGAAAGCCCACGGCUCAACCGUGGAGGGUCAUUGGAAACUGGGAGACUUGAGUGCAGAAGAGGAAAGUGGAAUUCCAUGUGUAGCGGUGAAAUGCGUAGAGAUAUGGAGGAACACCAGUGGCGAAGGCGACUUUCUGGUCUGUAACUGACACUGAGGCGCGAAAGCGUGGGGAGCAAACAGGAUUAGAUACCCUGGUAGUCCNCGCCGNNAACGAUGAGUGCUAAGUGUUAGAGGGUUUCCGCCCUUUAGUGCUGA
rnacentral:rRNA from 1 species